AUUGAACGCUGGCGGCAGGCCUAACACAUGCAAGUCGAGCGAGCGGCGGACGGGUGAGUAAUGUCUGGGAAACUGCCUGUUGUAGGGGGAUAACUACUGUAAACGGUAGCUAAUACCGCACACCAUCAGAUGUGCCCAGAUGGGAGUAGCUAGUAGGUGGGGUAACGGCUCACCUAGGCGACGAUCCCUAGCUGGUCUGAGAGGAUGACCAGCCACACUGGAACUGAGACACGGUCCAGACUCCUACGGGAGGCAGCAGUGGGGAAUAUUGCACAAUGGGCGCAAGCCUGAUGCAGCCAUGCCGCGUGUGUGAAGAAGGCCUUCGGGUUGUAAAGCACUUUCAGCGGGGAGGCGUUACCCGCAGAAGAAGCACCGGCUAACUCCGUGCCAGCAGCCGCGGUAAUUC
rnacentral:rRNA from 1 species